ACUGGAGCUAAUAAGUUGUAAUUGUUGCAGGCUUCCCGAAUCCACAGCAUCAUUCAAGCGUCAAAGUUUGAAACACUUUCAGAUGCUGCAACGCACAGGUUGCAUAUACUGAUAUUAACUGUAGAAGACCUUCAGGGCUCUUUGACUGGCUGCGGUAUGUUCGUCAUCAAUCUGCCAUUGAUUGUAACAAUUGUGAGUUCCGUCAUCACGUACACUGUCGUGCUUGUGCAGACCAACGAAAGUAUCAUGGCCAACAAGUGCUCCAGAGUGCCUGCAGUAUUGAAGUGACAGAGCAAAGUGUUGUCGAGGUGAAAACAUACGCCAAGUCGAAAUGAAGCAGAAUGUGUCUUACAGCGAAACUGUCUGACUAGGAUCCCGGGAUUUCUUUAUGACGUAACGGCGACAGAAAACUAACAUCAGCAAUGGCUCAUACACCAAAUGCAAUGGCUCAUACCCCCGUAUGGCAGAGGCUACAAACACUCAGCAAAGCGAAGCGAACAGUACAUACACUCUUUGGAAUCACAUACAACAUACAGAACAGCAUACG